rnacentral:lncRNA from 1 species
GCGAAUUGAAGUUGUGAAUUGGCGAAAUGAUGGUCCAAGAGCAUUGGGGGCAAUGAUAAUGAGGUCAAGAUCAUAAUGGGAUGACCGAUAAAGUCAAGUUCAUCCUCUAUGACUCAGAUUGAAUGCAAAUAGUGGCUAACACUUGAGGUGUCUUUGGAAACAAUUGAAAGACAUUACACGAGUUUGAGAUCGAUUCGCAUAAUAUUCAAUUUGUGCAUUGGGAUUACAUGAUGCAAGAAGUGCCAGGAAAACAUAAUGAUCGCUCCAAUACCAAUGGUUGGAAAGGGACAGGGAGUAUCACCAAUGACAUAGCCAUAUAGAGAAGAUAAA